rnacentral:rRNA from 1 species
GAGUUUGAUCCUGGCUCAGAACGAACGCUGGCGGCGUGCCUAACACAUGCAAGUCGUGCGAGAACGGGAGCAAUCCCUAGUAAAGCGGCGCACGGGUGAGUAACACGUAGGUAACCUACCCUCGAGCCCGGGAUAACCUACCGAAAGGUGGGCUAAUACCGGAUAUGACCACGGGAGUUUCGGCUCCUGCGGUGAAAGGUGGCCUCUGCUUGCAAGCUAGUACUCGAGGAUGGGCCUGCGCGCCAUUAGCUAGUUGGCGGGGUAAUGGCCCACCAAGGCGAUGAUGGCUAGCUGGUCUGAGAGGAUGGCCAGCCACACUGGGACUGAAACACGGCCCAGACUCCUACGGGAGGCAGCAGUGGGGGAUAUUGCGCAAUGGGCGAAAGCCUGACGCAGCGACGCCGCGUGGGUGAUGAAGGCCUUCGGGUCGUAAAGCCCUGUCGAGGGGGACGAAACGGCAACGACCUAACACGUCGGGGCCCUGACGGUACCCCUAAAGGAAGCACCGGCUAACUCCGUGCCAGCAGCCGCGGUAA